AAAGAGGGGAGAAUAAUUGCAACAUGAAUUCGUGUUUUAAUCUAAAAAUUGGUGUUCAUAUCUUCAAAUGGUAUUUAUUGAACAUCUACAAAAUGCCAUUUAUUGUAACAGGUGCUUUUAUUUCCAUGACCAGUACUACAGCCCUGUGUGGAGUUGAUACUCUGUUUCACAGGUGAGACUAUUUUGAGGCCCACAGAGUACAAGUACCUUUCUAGAUUCACACAGCUAUUUAGUGAUAAAACUUCUGAUUCUAAACUGAAUAUUGACACUACUCAGAUUCAUAGCCACUGACAUUCUACUUACCUAAGAGUCCAUUUGGAAGGAUUUCUUUUUAUUUUUUUCCUUAAGUUUAUUUCUUUAUUUUUUAGUAAUCUGUACACUCAGCAUGAUCCUUAUAUCAAGAGUCUCAUGCUCCUCCCCGACUGAGCCAGCCAGGCACCCUUGACUAUCUCUUCCUUAAUAAAUUUCCUUAAUGACCUGAGAGCUUCUUCUUGGCUUUUAACAUUCUAUGAGAUUUUUUUCUUUCCUUUCUUUCUUUUUUUUUUUUUUUUUAAGAACUCUUUGAGAUCUUGAGGACUGUCCUUUGAAAUGAUCACUGUCCCUCCAGAAAGUAAACCAAGUGCUAGCAAUACAUCAUCAUUGGUACUCAAGUAGGGAUAGAAAUGAAGUGUUAUAGACUAGCCAUUCUCUUUAGGAAGUCUCAGUCCUCUGGAUAUUUGGUGAAAGCUUUGGACCCUUUCUACAGAAGAAUACAAAAUUUUGCAUAUGAUUUCAGGGGGUACAUGAAACCUAGGUUAAGAAACCCUGUCCUAGACAUACAAGAAUGUCAUACAGAAGAUCCCCUGACUUGGAGGUCAGGAAACAAGAUUCUGCUUCAGGCCCUGUGACCCUGGACAAGGUGUCCCACUUUUUGGUUUUCUGUACCCUCACAUGUAAGGUAAUCUAGUGCCUUUCAGUUUUUAACAUGGAGGCAGUAUGAUAAAUUUACUGAAUUGGUUGUAAGACCUAAGUUCAGAUACUAACUGGACAUUUGCUAGUUGCAUAUAACUGGGCAAAAUAUUUAACCCCUCUGAGCUUCAAUUACUUAAUGAAACACAAUCUUCCUAACCUGUGUUCUUAAAGGAAUUCUAGUAAGGAUCAAAUCAGAUCAUUCCUGUGAAAGCACUUUGUCAUGGAGUAUUUCCUUCUCGUGUGUGUUAGCCACCCCUCUCUAUGCUCCACAGCACCUUCUGUGAACAUCUCCUAACAGGUGAUUUUGUUGUUGUCUGUGUAUUUCCUGGUCUCCUGCCAGCCUGUGAGCUCCUAGGGCAGGUACCAUAUAUAUUCUUUUCAUUUUGUGUUGACAGCUGUUGUGCCUGAUUCAUGUUAAACACCCCAGUUAUCUAAGUAAAUGAAUAAUAUAGUAAGUGGUUGUACUUGACUUUGAAAGUGUUAUAAAAUGUAUUGAUGGUCCACAGUGAGAUUAGAGAGAGUUUCAGAAAUCCAAGGUAAAAGGACAGAUAAUUAAGCAGUGGCAUGUAUAGAAGGCUGCACAGUAGCUCAGGGCCUUUGUACUCUGCUCCCUCCAUCUGGAAUGAUUGUCACCUGGCUCAUCUCCUGUCUGGCUCCUCAUUCUUCAGGUCUCAGCCUCAUCGUCACCUUCUCAGAGAGGUUUACCCUGACCACCCUAGCUUUAAGUAAUCCCCUGUCCUCCCAUUCAUCUCCGUCUGCUUCCUUAAUAAGAUUUCUUGUCUGUAAUUAUUUCUUUAUCUUUCUCCCACUUGAAUAAAGGUCCUUGAAGGGAGGGAUGAUGCUUGUCUUUUUCACUAUUAUAUUUCCAGUGCCUGUCAUACAGAAAGAACACAGUAUAUAUUUUGCGCCCCUGUAUUUAUUUUUUUGAGAGAGAGCAAGGGGAGGAGGGGCAAAGAGAGAGGGAGACAAUCCCAAGCAGGCUGCAUGCUGUCAGCACAGAGCGUGAUGUGGGGCUCAAACUCACGAACAGUGAGAUCGUGACUUGAGCUGAAAUCAAAGAGUCCAACGCUUAACCAGCUGAGCCAUCUAGGCACCCCAAGAACACAAUAUAUAUUUGUUGAAUAAAUUCAUAAAAGUUUGGUGUGCAGGAACUUGGGUCUAAAUUAAUAGAUUAAGAAACAGAUGUUUUUCUGUUCCCUAGCUGUGUUCAUGCUUUAUCACAUAUUUGGCACCUAGCACCAGGGUGACCAACCUUCCCAGUUUGCCCAGGACCAUGGUUUCUGGGAUGUGGACUUUCAGUGCCAAAAUCUGGACAGUCUUGGGCAGACUAGGAUGAUUGAUCAGCCUACCUGGUAUAUAGCAGACACUUGGUGCUUUGAACUUUUUACUGCUUCUCUUCUAUUUUUUUGAAAAAAUUUUUAAUGUUCAUUUUUGAGAGAGGGAGAGAGAGCGUGAGCGGGGAAGGGGUGGAGACAGGAUCUGAAGAGAGCUCUGUGCUGACAGCAGAGAACCUGAUGCUGGGCUUUAACUCGUGAACCUCUAGAUCAUGUCCUCAGCUGAAGCUGGAUGCUUAACUGACUGAGCCACCCAGGUGCUCCUGGUGCUUUGAACUUUUUAAAGCUCUUUCAUACCUUUUACCUUUUUCGAUUAUUAAAAUGUGUAAGGUGUAGGGCAGGUGAUACAGCCUGAUAACGUUAUUUGACACAUGAAGCAACCGAAGCUCAAGAGAGAUUGUCACAUGAUUAGGUUUUCUUAUUCCUACUCUAAGAUUUACCACCAAUCAAGAGAAUAAUGUUGGCUCAGUGCCUACCCUACAGUAGGUAUAAGUACAUACUUUUAAAAAUCAAAGUUACAAUAUGGUUAAGAUACUAGGUUGUUAAUUAGGAGCUGGGACACUUGAGAUGAGAAUCUUUAAAAUGGGGUUAGUGCCCAUCCCUAUUCUAGUUCCUAAGAUGUGAGAGGAAGAGAUGCUUUUGUUUUGUUUUGUUUUGUUUUGUUUUUUAGCUUCCAGGAGAAAGGAUGUAUGAGAGAAUAUGUGGGAGAAAGUAGACCUCCACUUUUCAAAUGCUCAUUAGCACUUGUUGGGUGCAUGGUGUGAGAGUAAAAUGAAAUAUAAGGUCUUCUUUGCCCAGUUAGCAAGAACUAAAAUAUUAAGGUUUUUUUAUGUUUUAUUCCAAAGGAAAAAUAGACAUUUUGGCAAAAUCUUUGGAGCAGUGUUUUUUUCUUUGGGUAUUCCCCAACUUUCAUAGCUAAUGCAUUGAUCCCCCCCAGCUAAUGCAUUGUUAAAAAUUAGAAGUGAAAAGUUGGAGCACCUGUCUGGCUCAGUAGGAAGAGCAUGUGAUUUUGCACAUUGGUUGUAGAGAUUACUUAAAUAAACAAACAAACAAAUUUGUUUUAAAAAGGUCCAGGGGCACCCUGGUGGCUCAGUUGGUUAAACCUCUGACUCUUGAUUUCUGCUCAGGCCUUGAUCUCGCAUGAGUUUAUGUGAGUUUGAGCCCCACGUCAGACUCUGCGCUGACAGUGCAGAGCCUGCUUAGGAUUCUCUCUCUCGUGUCUCUCUCUCUCUCUCUCUCUCUCUC